AUAUUUAUGCUAAUGGUUGUUCAGCUUGAUCAUAACACUUUAUAUUUAGUUUCUAAUAAUAAUGAAAAUGCUUUCAUGUAGUCCCCGCAACAACCUACAAAUGUGGAAUGUGGGUUUUAUGUAAUGAGGUAUAUGAAAGACCUCAUUAGAGAUCAAAGCAUCCUAAGAAAACAAAAUUUCAAUGGAAAAAAGACUUACACAGAAACCGAACUUGAUGAAGUGCGAGUUGAAUGGAUUAAUUUCGUACUAAAGAAUAUGAGUUGAAAUCCAACAUGUCAGAAAUUUCUUGGAGAGAUGCAAAAUAUGGUCAAAGAAUUUAAGAACUUAGUUUUUU